rnacentral:rRNA from 1 species
AUUGAACGCUGGCGGCAGGCCUAAUACAUGCAAGUCGAACGAGUGGCGGACGGGUGAGUAAUGUAUGGGAAACUGCCUGAUGGAGGGGGAUAACUAGUGGAAACGGUAGAUAAUACCGCAUACCAUACGAUGUGGCCAGGUGGGAUUAGGUUGUUGGGGGGGUAACGGCUCACCAAGGCGACGAUCCCUAGCUGGUCUGAGAGGAUGAACAGCCACACUGGAACUGAGACACGGUCCAGACUCCUACGGGAGGCAGCAGUGGGGAAUAUUGCACAAUGGGCGCAAGCCUGAUGCAGCCAUGCCGCGUGUAUGAAGAAGGCCUUCGGGUUGUAAAGUACUUUCGGCGGGGAGGCGUUACCCACAGAAGAAGCACCGGCUAACUCCGUGCCAGCAGCCGCGGUAAUUC